AGAUUUGCUCGUAGGGCGCGAGCAAGUAAGGAAUAAAAGAAAGUCCCACUGAGA
rnacentral:sRNA from 12 species